rnacentral:misc_RNA from 1 species
GAUGAAGAACGUAGCGAAAUGCGAUAAGUAGUGUGAAUUGCAGAAUUCAGUGAAUCAUCGAAUCUUUGAACGCACAUUGCGCCCCUUGGUAUCCCGAGGGGCAUGCCUGUUCGAGCGUCAUUUCACCACUCAAGCCUGGCUUGGUGUUGGGCGACGUCCUCUUUGGGGACGCGCCUCGAAACGCUCGGCGGCGUGGCACCGGCUUUAAGCGUAGCAGAAUCUUUCGCUUUGGAAGUCGGGGCCCCGUCUGCCGGAAGACCCGCUCGCAAGGUUGACCUCGGAUCAGGCAGGGAUACCCGCUGAACUUAAGCAUAUCAAUAAGCGGAGGA